CUGUAUUUUUGUUUAAAAAAUCUAGUUGUUCUCCUGAGCUUCUGUUAUCAACUGACUUGCCACUACUCAAGAUAUUUUCAUAACAGUAUCCAAAGUAUGAUUCUAUCAGUCCUCUGCUUUCAUUCUCUAGUGACUUUCAUUUUUUCUUAGCAUUUAAGCUCUCAGAAUCUUUUACAGAACUUGACCUGAUCUUGGCCCUUGUUUUCACUCUCACCACAUUUGUGCUUCUCUUCCUCUGUCUUCUUGUGUUUGAUUAACUCUGACCUUCCUGCUGUAAAUCAUUCCAAGAACAGGUCAAAGACCAAGCUUACUUCCCACUCUAGUGCAUUUGUACCUUCAGCUCCCACUGUCUGGGCCAUAGUAUCAUUGAUUUUGCAUAGAGGCUCACUUUCUUAAAUUUAUUUCCCCUUUUUCUUUUUUGGAGAUGUAACAACAUUUUUGUGUGUGUGGUACCGGGAAUCAAACAUGGGUCUUUGCACUUGUGAGGCAGUCGGCGGAACCACUGAGCUAAAUCCCUGGCCCUGGAGAUGUUACAACUUUUUAAUGAGAACUGAAGACCUUAUUUAUAAGUAGCUGUCCCGGCCCGCGGGAGAAUGAAGAUUGGAGAGAAUUCACACAUAUUUCUCUAUGAAAUUUACCAAACCAUUGAUCUAGUAGAUAUUCUUUGUUUUAAAAAUGGAGUUUCUUAAAGAGAGCUAUACUCCAAUGUUCACCAUAGCAUAAUUCACAGUUACUAAGAAAUGAAAACAACCAAAGUGUCCUUCAACAAAGAAUGGAUAAAGAAAGUGUGGUACAUAUACACAAUGAGAUAUAUUGAGCCAUAAGAAUGAAUGAAAUCUAUCAUUUGUGACAAUGCCAGUGAAACUGGAGGUUAUUAUGGAAAGAAGCCAGUAAUUGUUAACUCAGAACACCCAAGGAAAUCAUGGUUUUAAACAUUUAGAGGAAAUCACAAAAGCUUGAAGAGCUUUCCCCCAGGGCACCUUGGAAGAAUCCAUGCCUCUAAAAUAGGAAACAUUUAUCAAGCCUUUGAGUACAGAAGUGUUUCAGGCUACAAUGUCAGCAGAACUAGACUAAACCAACUUUCUGGCCUAAUAGCCACUGUGCUACUUCUGUCAACAUGACUUGCUUUUCUGUAAAAAUGUGUAUAUAUACAUAUAUAUGUAUGUGAAUCAGUAUUCAGAAAAUGAAUGGAAAAGAAGAGGA
ensembl:lncRNA